rnacentral:rRNA from 1 species
UACGGAGGAUGCAAGCGUUAUCCGGAUUCAUUGGGUUUAAAGGGUGCGUAGGCGGGCUAUUAAGUCAGUGGUGAAAGCCUGCAGCUUAACUGCAGAACUGCCAUUGAUACUGAUAGUCUUGAGUUUGGUUAAGGUAGGCGGAAUGUGUAAUGUAGCGGUGAAAUGCUUAGAUAUUACACAGAACACCAAUUGCGUAGGCAGCUUACUGAGCCGACACUGACGCUGAGGCACGAAAGCGUGGGGAGCAAACAGGA